rnacentral:rRNA from 1 species
UGGGGAAUAUUGCACAAUGGGCGCAAGCCUGAUGCAGCAACGCCGCGUGAGGGAUGACGGCCUUCGGGUUGUAAACCUCUUUUAGCAGGGAAGAAGCGAAAGUGACGGUACCUGCAGAAAAAGCACCGGCUAACUACGUGCCAGCAGCCGCGGUAAUACGUAGGGUGCAAGCGUUGUCCGGAAUUAUUGGGCGUAAAGAGCUCGUAGGCGGUCUGUCGCGUCUGCUGUGAAAUCCCGAGGCUCAACCUCGGGCCUGCAGUGGGUACGGGCAGACUAGAGUGCGGUAGGGGAGAAUGGAACUCCUGGUGUAGCGGUGUAAUGCGCAGAUAUCAGGAAGAACACCGAUGGCGAAGGCAGUUCUCUGGGCCCGUAACUGACGCUGAGGAGCGAAAAGCGUGGGGAGCGAACAGGAUUAGAUACCCUGGUAGUCCACGCCGUAAACGUUGGGCGCUAGAUGUGGGGACCAUUCCACGGUUUCCGUGUCGCAGCUAACGCAUUAAGCGCCCCGCCUGGGGAGUACGGCCGCAAGGCUAAAACUUGAAAUGAAUUG